UACGUAGGGUCCAAGCGUUGUUCGGAUUUACUGGGCGUAAAGGGCGCGUAGGCGGCGUGACAAGUCACUUGUGAAAUCUCUGAGCUUAACUCAGAACGGCCAAGUGAAACUGUUGUGCUAGAGUGCAGAAGGGGCAAUCGGAAUUCUUGGUGUAGCGGUGAAAUGCGUAGAUAUCAAGAGGAACACCUGAGGUGAAGACGGGUUGCUGGGCUGACACUGACGCUGAGGCGCGAAAGCCAGGGGAGCAAACGGG
rnacentral:rRNA from 1 species